rnacentral:rRNA from 1 species
GAUGAACGCUGGCGGCGUGCUUAACACAUGCAAGUCGAACGGAAAGGCCCUGCUUUUGUGGGGUGCUCGAGUGGCGAACGGGUGAGUAACACGUGAGUAACCUGCCCUUGACUUUGGGAUAACUUCAGGAAACUGGGGCUAAUACCGGAUAGGAGCUCCUGCUGCAUGGUGGGGGUUGGAAAGUUUCGGCGGUUGGGGAUGGACUCGCGGCUUAUCAGCUUGUUGGUGGGGUAGUGGCUUACCAAGGCGUUGACGGGUAGCCGGCCUGAGAGGGUGACCGGCCACAUUGGGACUGAGAUACGGCCCAGACUCCUACGGGAGGCAGCAGUGGGGAAUAUUGCACAAUGGGCGGAAGCCUGAUGCAGCAACGCCGCGUGCGGGAUGACGGCCUUCGGGUUGUAAACCGCUUUAGCCUGUGACGAAGCGUGAGUGACGGUAAUGGGUAAAGAAGCACCGGCUAACUACGUG